AUUGAACGCUGGCGGCAGGCCUAACACAUGCAAGUCGAGCGGAUGGAGGGAGCUUGCUCCUGGAUUCAGCGGCGGACGGGUGAGUAAUGCCUAGGAAUCUGCCUGGUAGUGGGGGAUAACGUCCGGAAACGGGCGCUAAUACCGCACACGUCCUGAGGGAGAAAGUGGGGGAUCUUCGGACCUCACGCUAUCAGAUGAGCCUAGGUCGGAUUAGCUAGUUGGUGGGGUAAAGGCCUACCAAGGCGACGAUCCGUAACUGGUCUGAGAGGAUGAUCAGUCACACUGGAACUGAGACACGGUCCAGACUCCUACGGGAGGCAGCAGUGGGGAAUAUUGGACAAUGGGCGAAAGCCUGAUCCAGCCAUGCCGCGUGUGUGAAGAAGGUCUUCGGAUUGUAAAGCACUUUAAGUUGGGAGGAAGGGCAGUAAGUUAAUACCUUGCUGUUUUGACGUUACCAACAGAAUAAGCACCGGCUAACUGCGU
rnacentral:rRNA from 1 species